UGGGAAAAGCCAGGAAUAGCACCAAUGCAGAGAGAAAGCAGCUGGUGAGCGCCGCAGUAGCUUCAUUGGAACUCUUGCUUUGGGGACCAUGGAUUUCUGGGUGAUUCAAAUGACAAAUACUUGCACCUGCACACUUGCAGAACAGAACCAAAGAAGGACGCUCAAAAGAGAGGAACCACCAGGAACAAAGGGCAGCACCAGCAAGGCAAUGCUCCAUUCUGCAGCCUCUCUGCCUGGCUCUAUGGACUUCUGCAUUCAA